GUCCCAGUUCGGAUUGUAGUCUGCAACCCGACUACAUGAAGCUGGAAUCGCUAGUAAUCGCAGGUCAGCAUACUGCGGUGAAUACGUUCCCGGGUCUUGUACACACCGCCCGUCACACCAUGGGAGCCGGAAAUGCCCGAAGCCAGUGACCCAACCUUAGGGAGGGAGCUGUCGAAGGUGGAGCCGGUAACUGGGGUGAAGUCGUAACAAGGUAAC
rnacentral:rRNA from 1 species